rnacentral:tmRNA from 3 species
GGGGCCGACUUUGGUUUCGACGGGGGUACUGAUUCAAGUGGAGCGUGCCGAGCCUUCCAGUAAGCUCGUUAAUCUUUCUGGAAAAAAAGUAACUGCAAACGACGAACGUUUCGCACUCGCUGCUUAAUUGCCAGUGAGCCUCACAACAGCAAGCCGAUAGGCUGGGCAAGGGCGGCGUAAGCUGUCCAGGCUGUGGGGUAAUUUAAUUCGGCUGGGUUUGUUUUGGGUAACUUAGAACAGACCGAGAAAAUAGGUUACUGGUUGGGUAUGCAGCGUGUCGCUGCGCGGCAUACCAGACGAGAUCCAAAUCAGACGACUACGCAUGUAGAACUGCUUGUUGAUGGCUUUCGGACGGGGGUUCAAUUCCCCCCGGCUCCACCA